rnacentral:lncRNA from 1 species
CAGUUGUUUUGUAUCUGUCCAACAGCCAAAUUAACAUUCUAACUAAUAAAGCUAUUCUAACUAAUAUCACCAAAAGAGAUCAAUAUCUAUGUUAGGCAUAUUUCUAUCAAUUGCAUUUAUGAAAUUUUUAAAAAGUGCUAAAACUAAGAUGAGAUUGAUAUAUCUUUGGAAUUCUGCCCUGAUGAACCAAAAAAAAGUAAAGUGGGCAAUUUGAAACCUGAGUUAUGAAGACCAACUUCAUCAGCUUUAGCAGAAUGUUAUGCCUCAUUAAGAAUUGUGAAGUUAAAUAACUACUAGGGAUGUAAUUACAACAUGAUGACUGUAGUUAACACUGCUGUGUGUUACAUAUGAAAGUUGCUGAGAGAGUGAAUCCUAAGAGUUCUCAUCACAAGAGAAAAGAAAGAACUUUUCAUUAUCCUAAAGAAAAAAAUGUGUCAUUUACUGAGGGCACUUUGAAAAGAAAUAUUAAAAUUUUUGCAUCAUAGCAUUAAUAACCACAUUCAAGAAUACCCCCCCACACACACACGUAUAUACGCCACCAACUUAUACACUAAGAAUAUCGGAAAUUCACAGGUAACCAAAUUUGUAAUCUGAUGUCAGCCAGGAGUUUACAACAAUAGUCCAACUAAUAUGAAAUACUGAUAUAUUUUAUGCAGUGUAAAAAAAACAUUUCUAAGUGUGACACUGCAAGACUUGCCUACUUAGUGCAAUCUAUGGAUUUCAUUGCGAGUUUAUGACCUGUAUAAACCUUCACAUUGGUGAUGACAGCUUGUAUUUCCAUGUGCAACAGCCAUUUCAUUUCAUUCAUCUCUCUCAUCUACAUCUGAAAUAGUUAUAGGUCUGGUGACUGCGUUCUGGAUCCUAUAUAAUUUAGCAUAGUAACAGAAAUAAUUCAUUCACUUAUUCACAGAAGCUAAGUGUGCAGGUUAUUUCUACAUAUAAAGUGGAAGAUCCACUCUUACUCUGCUUUGAUCAAGAUUCAGGCUUGAGCCAACCUGUCAAAUAACUGUCAAAUAGCAAUUUGGGUAACAGCUCCCUAGAAAAAUAGAAAAAAUGUAAUUCUUACAAUGUGUGGCAUGUCCAAAAGGAAAUAGUUAUUUGGGGGGGCACCAUUAUACAUGAGGAUGCUGAAAAGUAGGUAUAUCAUGGGCUCUUGUAAAGAUUAAGGCUGGUACACAUGGAGUAUUUAACACAGUGUCAGGGGCACAGUCAACUUUCAAUUAAUGUGGGUUAUCAUUUGUUCUUAUUAAUGCUUUUCUGUUCUCCAUUUAGCCAACUGGAUACUUUAAAAAAAACCUGAUAGUUUUAAACUAGAUCUUACAAAUUAUCACAAUGGUAGUUGGAUAAUAAUGGAUAUAGCUUUAUGAAACAUACUACACACCUGAACUUAAUUUAUUAACAAUUAAACAUAAUCACACAUACUUAUAUGAUUAAAAUUAAGUUAAUAUGUAACUUCAGUAAAGAUCUACCAUUAAAGAGAAUUUAUGCUCUCUACAAAAACUGCUUUUUUAUUGUCAUCUGAUUUUGUGAAAUGUUUAUUCCUUGCCCUUAUUUCAAAUUGAUACAAAUCAUCCACUCUACUUGUUUUCCUGUCAGGCAAACAAAAUUGUUUAUGAGAGAUUAUGUAUGGAUGACAAAAUUAAAAAAAUCUUAACUUUUCUACAUUUGGUCAAUUUUUAGGCUUUAAAAUACAAAGUUUUCAAAAACAAUUUUAAAUUACAACUGUAGCUUUUAAUACUUCUGUUUGUUGAGUUACAAAUUCAUGAGACUGCUGAAAGGUCUAAAGAUAAGGCCUCCUCCAAGUCUACUUACUCCUGCCACCUACAUUCAGGAGACAUUUAAAGAUGGGCAUGGCUUUAGAUGGAAAGGGAGAUGCUUCAGGAUCCUGCUCUACUUGAAGACAUACCCAAAUCACAUAUUGUUUGUUCGCUGUCCCAUCCCCGGCACUGCACACAGUAUACAUAUUAAAAUGCCUUGUACUGCUUGAUUGAUUAAUUUAUCAUUCAUAAAUGACUCACCCUAAAUACACGAUCUUUGCUGCUUAACUGAUCCGUUUUUAUUCCAUGUGGACAUUUGCAAAGUGUUUUAUGAGCUUCAUAAAAACACAUCAUCCAAAGGGUCUUCAAAAUUUUUUUGUGGAUAUACUUAAUUUAAAUAGGGAUAUGGAACUUUUUUAGUUAAGUACAAAAUAAUUUGAAAGUAUAUAUUCUGAAAAUUCAAGGUUAACAAAAAAGAACAGAAGGAAUGACAGUAGAAAUUAAAGAAUGAGGAAAUUAAUCAUACAUAGUGUCAAAACAUUUAGAAAGUAUAUCAUUGAGGAGGAUAAAUGUGACUGGAUCCAAUUAAGUAACUGCCUUUGGAAGCACAGAAAUGCUGUUUGUUGGAACAUAAAAUCCUUUUUUCCUACUACUGAAUCAAUUUAGAAUGAAUUAAUGCCGCAUAGUUUUUAAAAUGUUUAAUCAAUUAGUUUUAAAAUGUAGAAGAUAAUUCAGAUUCAGAAACAUUUUUUCAUUACAUCAACUAAUAAAGACCCUUUUCCUCAAACUCCAAAUUUCCUUUAAACUAACAGUUUUUUUUAAUUAAACCACAUCUUUUAAAGUAGAUUUUUUAAUAAUUUGUUCAUGAUUAUUUUCAGAGGAGAACUUCCUACAAAACAUCUUGUGCCCCAAUAUCUUUAAACAUUUAUUUUGAAAAAAACAGAUACACCUUUUAGCGCCACAUUUACCCCAUGACUUCUGAUAUUUCCCCCUUCAUGUUUCAUCCAUAUGGCUCAUGCACUUCUAUGUUCAUGUAAUAUCCAUGAUGACAGAGAUUCUACUUUCUUUAUCACUGCUCUUCUACGGUUCUAAGAAAUAGUCUCCUCUCCCAUUUUAAUUAAUGCAGGAGAAUUUUGAAAUAUUAUUUUCCAAAGGGCUUCCUCAUAAAAAAAAACCCUUCCUAUUACAGUUAAUUUUUCUCUGUUUUGCAAAAUUGUUUAAAUAGCUAUUUAAAUUUCUCAUUUGCACUGAAAUUAACACUAUAAAUUUCAUCUAAUAUUUGAAUAGCAAAACACAAUUUUUUUUUUUUUUUUUUUGCUAUUUCUUGGGCCGCUCUAGCGGCAGCAAAACACAAUUUUACACACCUCCAGACACUCUGUUGGUGGUGUUGGAUUAUGACACAUUGUGGCACCUAUAUAGAAAUCUAUUUUUAAAUUACAAUCCUGGGGUAGCCUCUCUAAUGAAAAAUUCUGGAAAGCACUUAUUCUUUUUUCCAUUUCUCCUUUAGGAAAGAAAGCUAAUAAAAAUAAUAUGCAAAGAAAAAAUAUGUUCAAUUAUCAGUAAUUUGGAAUUUAUAAAUUAAUACCUUAUGAAUUAAUGUUCAACUAUGAAAAUUAAUGGUUAAUUUUAGCAACCUAUUUAAAAGUAAAGGCUUAGAGUGACUAAAAAAUAAUAAAGUCUUAACAUAAGAUGUACCUUAAGCUUCAUGGGUCCAUAGCUCUUUUACUUAACAUUUAAUCUAUUCCAACUCAUUUGGUAUAAUUUUAUGUCCAGUUUUGUUGUGAGCAUUGUACUAGGGAAACUAAUGAUGACAAGAAGAUACCACAUUUCUACACUUUAAUUUGAAAAGCCAAGGGAUAAGACACAUACAGUAGCAAUUAUUAUUAAAAAAUAUGAAUGUGAAAAUUAGGGAAAUUCGGAGUACUCUGAACACGUAGUGAAACCUAGCCCACCUAGAGGGUUCGAGAAGCACCAUCCAAUGGAAAUAUAAUGAAAGGCACAUUACAAUUUUAAACUGUCUAGUAGCCACAGUUUAAAAAGUAGAAUAUAAAUGCACACUAGGAUAAAGCAGCAAUGUCUUAAACAGUGCAACAGCUGAAGUGAAACACAGUCUUUCAAAAACAGUAGUUAUAUUUAAAAGAAAAACAUUUGGUACUAUUUCACUUUUUAAAUUUAAAUAAAUCAAAAUUAAAUAAAGUAAGAAAUUCGGUUUCUAGCACCCUAGCCACAUUUCAUGUGCUUAAUAGCCACAUGUUGCUGGGACCCAAAAGAGAGAAAAAUUAUGGGAUUUGUUUGAAUUGACUCUCACAAUCCCCUUUCGGAAUGCCUUGCUGUCAAACAGGCUGGAAAACUUCAAACUCUUCCCAAGUCUCUCCAGGAGCUAGGAUGGGUCAUGCCAAUCAAAAUGUAUUUACAGAAGAAAAAAGAAAGGGCAGGUGGCAGGUGUUUUGCUGACAUGAAUCAUAGUAGAGGCCAUGUGGUUCUGGGGUCAGGAGUUUUAGUAGCAGUUUUCUGAUAAUGAAGCUUCUUGAUCUUGACAGUACAGAGCUCCUUUGGCAGUACAGUUGUCUGGUGUGGUUUCAGGAGUCCUUCCUAAAAGAUCAGGCUACAGCCUGCUACUUUGGCCAAUUCUUCAUUUUCUUUUUUUUUCUUUUUAGGGCCUUACCCGUGGCAUAUAGAAGUUCCCAGGCUAGGGAGCAAGUUGGAACCAAGGUGUUGGCCUAUGGCACAGCCACAGCAAUGCCAGAUCUGAGCCAUGUCUGCAACCUACACCACAGUUCAUGACAAUGCAGGAUCCUUAACCCACGGAGCGAGGACAAGAAUCAAAACUGAAACCUCAUGGAUACUAGUCAGGUUUUUAAGCCACUGAGCAACAAUGAGAACUCCCAAUUCUUCAUUUUCAAGAGUUAGCACUACUUUCAUCAAUUCAUCUAUGUAUAAAAUUGUUAGACUUCUUUUCUUCUAGAACUAGCAAGUGUGAUCAACAUAGGAACUAAAGAAGACUUCCCAGAGAACUGACUUCUAAGCCUAUAUCUGAUGGGUAGCAGAGUUUCUUCUGCAGAAUAGUGAGAAGUGUAUUUCAGACAAUAGGAAAUAUUUAGAAAGGCUGUUAAGUAAGAAGGAAUGUGAAAUAGGAGCCCAAAGGAAGUAAGUCUGGUUAGAAUAAUAAAGGGAAGGGUGACACUGCCUUAAAAUGAAUGGCUCUAUGCACUGAAAUCCACCUCACAAAAUGGGCAAUUCACUGAAAGCAACAAUUUAUAAAAUGAUCAAUUCAUCACAUUUAUAUAUUUACCAGUAUCUUGUUUCUUAUGGUAAUUAAUAAAAAUUACAGUAAUGCUUAGAUGGAUUAGUAGAGUGUGGAUAGGUGGGCUGUCAUGACCUGUCAAACUUUCCUCCUGUGCCUCUGUCUAUCCUUUCAGUAUGGCCACAAUCUCACAUUCUUAGCCAUUUAGACUCUUAAUUCUGGCAUCAGCAGCCAAGGCUGUGCUGUUCCUUUACUAAUAGCAGAGGGUGCC